AGACCCGAAACCCGGUGAUCUAGCCAUGGGCAGGUUGAAGGUUGGGUAACACUAACUGGAGGACCGAACCGACUAAUGUUGAAAAAUUAGCGGAUGACCUGUGGCUGGGGGUGAAAGGCCAAUCAAACCGGGAGAUAGCUGGUUCUCCCCGAAAGCUAUUUAGGUAGCGCCUCGUGAAUUCAUCUCCGGGGGUAGAGCACUGUUUCGGCUAGGGGGCCAUCCCGGCUUACCAACCCGAUGCAAACUGCGAAUACCGGAGAAUGUUAUCACGGGAGACACACGGCGGGUGCUAACGUCCGUCGUGAAGAGGGAAACAACCCAGACCGCCAGCUAAGGUCCCAAAGUCAUGGUUAAGUGGGAAACGAUGUGGGAAGGCCCAGACAGCCAGGAUGUUGGCUUAGAAGCAGCCAUCAUUUAAAGAAAGCGUAAUAGCUCACUGGUCGAGUCGGCCUGCGCGGAAGAUGUAACGGGGCUAAACCAUGCACCGAAGCUGCGGCAGCGAACGUAUCACCCAAGACAACUUUGCGGAGUUGACGAUUGACGGAGCGAAGCGACGUCAAAGCGUUCAUUAAAGUCGAGUUGGCUUAGGGAUACGUUCGUUGGGUAGGGGAGCGUUCUGUAAGCCAGUGAAGGUGUGUCGUGAGGCAUGCUGGAGGUAUCAGAAGUGCGAAUGCUGACAUAAGUAACGAUAAAGCGGGUGAAAAGCCCGCUCGCCGGAAGACCAAGGGUUCCUGUCCAACGUUAAUCGGGGCAGGGUGAGUCGACCCCUAAGGCGAGGCCGAAAGGCGUAGUCGAUGGGAAACGGGUUAAUAUUCCCGUACUUGGUGUUACUGCGAAGGGGGGACGGAGAAGGCUAUGUUGGCCGGGCGACGGUUGUCCCGGUUUAAGCGUGUAGGUGUGUGUUCCAGGUAAAUCCGGUUCACUUUAACACUGAGGCGUGACGACGAGGCACUACGGUGCUGAAGCAACAAAUGCCCUGCUUCCAGGAAAAGCCUCUAAGCAUCAGGUAACAUCAAAUCGUACCCCAAACCGACACAGGUGGUCAGGUAGAGAAUACCAAGGCGCUUGAGAGAACUCGGGUGAAGGAACUAGGCAAAAUGGUGCCGUAACUUCGGGAGAAGGCACGCUGACACGUAGGUGAAGUGAUUUACUCAUGGAGCUGAAGUCAGUCGAAGAUACCAGCUGGCUGCAACUGUUUAUUAAAAACACAGCACUGUGCAAACACGAAAGUGGACGUAUACGGUGUGACGCCUGCCCGGUGCCGGAAGGUUAAUUGAUGGGGUCAGCGCAAGCGAAGCUCCUGAUCGAAGCCCCGGUAAACGGCGGCCGUAACUAUAACGGUCCUAAGGUAGCGAAAUUCCUUGUCGGGUAAGUUCCGACCUGCACGAAUGGCGUAAUGAUGGCCAGGCUGUCUCCACCCGAGACUCAGUGAAAUUGAACUCGCUGUGAAGAUGCAGUGUACCCGCGGCAAGACGGAAAGACCCCGUGAACCUUUACUAUAGCUUGACACUGAACAUUGAGCCUUGAUGUGUAG
rnacentral:rRNA from 3 species